GCUCAGGAUGAACGCUAGCUACAGGCUUAACACAUGCAAGUCGAGGGGCAGCAUGAAAGGAACUUCGGUUCUUUUUGAUGGCGACCGGCGCACGGGUGCGUAACGCGUAUCGAACCUGCCUCAUACUCGGGGAUAGCCUUGCGAAAGUAAGAUUAAUACCCGGCGGUCUCGGAUGGCCGCAUGACUAUCCGAGUGAAGAUUUAUCGGUAUGAGAUGGCGAUGCGUCCCAUUAGCUAGUUGGUGAGGUAAUGGCUCACCAAGGCAUCGAUGGGUAGGGGUUCUGAGAGGAAGGUCCCCCACAUUGGAACUGAGACACGGUCCAAACUCCUACGGGAGGCAGCAGUGAGGAAUAUUGGUCAAUGGACGAAAGUCUGAACCAGCCAAGUAGCGUGCAGGAAGACGGCCCUCUGGGUUGUAAACUGCUUUUAGUUGGGAAUAAAAAGAGGGACGUGUCCCUUAUUGUAUGUACCAUCAGAAAAAGGACCGGCUAAUUCCGUGCCAGCAGCCGCGGUAAUACGGAAGGUCCAGGCGUUAUCCGGAUUUAUUGGGUUUAAAGGGAGCGCAGGCGGCGGCGUAAGUCAGUUGUGAAAUCGUGCGGCUUAACCGUGCAAUUGCAGUUGAUACUGCGUCGCUUGAGUGCACACAGGGAUGUUGGAAUUCAUGGUGUAGCGGUGAAAUGCUUAGAUAUCAUGAAGAACUCCGAUCGCGAAGGCAUAUGUCCGGAGUGCAACUGACGCUGAGGCUCGAAAGUGUGGGUAUCAAACAGGAUUAGAUACCCUGGUAGUCCACACAGUAAACGAUGAAUACUCGCUGUUUGCGAUAUACAGUAAGCGGCCAAGCGAAAGCGUUAAGUAUUCCACCUGGGGAGUACGCCGGCAACGGUGAAACUCAAAGGAAUUGACGGGGGCCCGCACAAGCGGAGGAACAUGUGGUUUAAUUCGAUGAUACGCGAGGAACCUUACCCGGGCUUGAACUGCCAGUGACUCAUGCAGAGACGCAUGUUUCUUCGGACACUGGCGGAGGUGCUGCAUGGUUGUCGUCAGCUCGUGCCGUGAGGUGUCGGCUUAAGUGCCAU
rnacentral:rRNA from 1 species